rnacentral:rRNA from 1 species
GCGACUAAGCGUACACGGUGGAUGCCCUGGCAGUCAGAGGCGAUGAAGGACGUGCUAAUCUGCGAUAAGCGUCGGUAAGGUGAUAUGAACCGUUAUAACCGGCGAUUUCCGAAUGGGGAAACCCAGUGUGUUUCGACACACUAUCAUUAACUGAAUCCAUAGGUUAAUGAGGCGAACCGGGGGAACUGAAACAUCUAAGUACCCCGAGGAAAAGAAAUCAACCGAGAUUCCCCCAGUAGCGGCGAGCGAACGGGGAGCAGCCCAGAGCCUGAAUCAGUGUGUGUGUUAGUGGAAGCGUCUGGAAAGGCGCGCGAUACAGGGUGACAGCCCCGUACACAAAAAUGCACAUGCUGUGAGCUCGAUGAGUAGGGCGGGACACGUGGUAUCCUGUCUGAAUAUGGGGGGACCAUCCUCCAAGGCUAAAUACUCCUGACUGACCGAUAGUGAACCAGUACCGUGAGGGAAAGGCGAAAAGAACCCCGGCGAGGGGAGUGAAAAAGAACCUGAAACCGUGUACGUACAAGCAGUGGGAGCACGCUUAGGCGUGUGACUGCGUACCUUUUGUAUAAUGGGUCAGCGACUUAUAUUCUGUAGCAAGGUUAACCGAAUAGGGGAGCCGAAGGGAAACCGAGUCUUAACUGGGCGUUAAGUUGCAGGGUAUAGACCCGAAACCCGGUGAUCUAGCCAUGGGCAGGUUGAAGGUUGGGUAACACUAACUGGAGGACCGAACCGACUAAUCUUGAAAAAUUAGCGGAUGACUUGUGGCUGGGGGUGAAAGGCCAAUCAAACCGGGAGAUAGCUGGUUCUCCCCGAAAGCUAUUUAGGUAGCGCCUCGUGAAUUCAUCUCCGGGGGUAGAGCACUGUUUCGGCAAGGGGGUCAUCCCGACUUACCAACCCGAUGCAAACUGCGAAUACCGGAGAAUGUUAUCACGGGAGACACACGGCGGGUGCUAACGUCCGUCGUGAAGAGGGAAACAAC